GCUUGCGGCCAGCUCUCAGAGCGACAAUGGGAUUCCAGGGCAGCAGAAAGGCUCCCUACCAGACAAGGUCCAGGAUCCAGUCCACACACAGUCUCUCUCAACCUACAUGGUCAGUUCACACCACUAAGGAUGAAAUUGCAAAAAAUGAAACAAGGUAGUUAAGCGAAGCACUGUGAAGCUGUCCGCAUCCUCAGCAGUGCCGGUUCCAUCUGCACCUGCCACGGAGCAACGCACAUGGCGAGCAGCCCUCUCCUGUCUCACCCGCUGCUCCCCUCAGCAGUGUAUUUAGUCAGUCUGCCUGUUCUGCUCCCCGCUCUGUCUCUGGUGAAUCCUCUCACCCUCCUGCACAUCUGUACCCCAGCUCUUGUAUGCAUAAAUAAAUAAAUCCUAAAAAAAUUAAAAAUAAAAAAAAGA